rnacentral:rRNA from 1 species
UACGUGAGGGGCAAGCGUUGUCCGGAUUUAUUGGGCGUAAAGAGCGUGUAGGCGGCUGGGUAGGUCUGCUGUGAAAACUCGAGGCUCAACCUCGAGAUGUCGGCGGAAACCAUCUGGCUAGAGUCCGGAAGAGGAAAGUGGAAGUUCCUGGUGAUAGCGGUGAAAUGCGCAGAUAUCAGGAAGAACACCCGUGGCGAAGGCGGCUUUCUGGGACGGUACUGACGCUGAGACGCGAAAGCGUGGGGAGCGAACAGG